GGAGGGCAAGUCUGGUGCCAGCAGCCGCGGUAAUUCCAGCUCCAAUAGCGUAUAUUAAAGUUGUUGAGGUUAAAAAGCUCGUAGUUGAACCUUGGGCCUAGCCGGCCGGUCCGCCUCACCGCGUGCACUGGCUCGGCUGGGUCUUUCCUUCUGGAGAACCGCAUGCCCUUCACUGGGUGUGUCGGGGAACCAGGACUUUUACUCUGAACAAAUUAGAUCGCUUAAAGAAGGCCUAUGCUCGAAUACAUUAGCAUGGAAUAAUAGAAUAGGACGUGUGGUUCUAUUUUGUUGGUUUCUAGGACCGCCGUAAUGAUUAAUAGGGACAGUCGGGGGCAUCAGUAUUCAAUUGUCAGAGGUGAAAUUCUUGGAUUUAUUGAAGACUAACUACUGCGAAAGCAUUUGCCAAGGAUGCUUUCAUUAAUCAGGAACGAAAGUUAGGGGAUCGAAGACGAUCAGAUACCGUCGUAGUCUUAACCAUAAACUAUGCCGAUUAGGGAUCGGACGGCGUUAUUUUUUGACCCGUUCGGCACCUUACGGGAAAC
rnacentral:rRNA from 1 species